AGUGAACGCUGGCGGUAGGCCUAACACAUGCAAGUCGAACGGCAGCACAGUAAGAGCUUGCUCUUACGGGUGGCGAGUGGCGGACGGGUGAGGAAUACAUCGGAAUCUACUUUUUCGUGGGGGAUAACGUAGGGAAACUUACGCUAAUACCGCAUACGACCUACGGGUGAAAGCAGGGGAUCUUCGGACCUUGCGCGAUUGAAUGAGCCGAUGUCGGAUUAGCUAGUUGGCGGGGUAAAGGCCCACCAAGGCGACGAUCCGUAGCUGGUCUGAGAGGAUGAUCAGCCACACUGGAACUGAGACACGGUCCAGACUCCUAAGGGAGGAAGCAGUGGGGAAUAUUGGACAAUGGGCGCAAGACUGAUCCAGCCAUACCGCGUGGGUGAAGAAGGCCUUCGGGUUGUAAAGCCCUUUUGUUGGGAAAGAAAAGCAGCAGGUUAAUACCCCGCUGUUCUGACGGUACCCAAAGAAUAAGCACCGGCUAACUUCGUG
rnacentral:rRNA from 1 species